GACAGAGGGUGCAAACGUUGUUCGGAAUUACUGGGCGUAAAGCGCGUGUAGGCGGCUUGGCAAGUCGGGUGUGAGAGCCCUGGGCUUAACCUAGGAAGUGCACUCGAAACUGCCGAGCUUGAGUUCUGGAGAGGAAGGCGGAAUUCUCGGUGUAGAGGUGAAAUUCGUAGAUAUCGAGAGGAACACCGGUGGCGAAGGCGGCCUUCUGGACAGCAACUGACGCUGAGACGCGAAAGCGUGGGGAGCAAACAGG
rnacentral:rRNA from 1 species